rnacentral:rRNA from 1 species
GACAGCAGCCGCCACGGGAAUACGGAGGAUCCAAGCGUUAUCCGGAUUUAUUGGGUUUAAGGCGUGCGUAGGCGGCCUGUUAAGUCAGGGGUGAAAGACGGUAGCUCAACUAUCGCAGUGCCCUUGAUACUGAUGGGCUUGAAUGAACUAGAGGUAGGCGGAAUGUGACAAGUAGCGGUGAAAUGCAUAGAUAUGUCACAGAACACCAAUUGCGAAGGCAGCUUACUAUGGUUUGAUUGACACUGAGGCACGAAAGCGUGGGGAUCAAACAGGAUUAGAUACCCGAGUAGUCCCUGUCUCUUAUAC